rnacentral:rRNA from 1 species
CACGUAGGCGGCAUAGCAAGUUAAGGGUGAAAUCCCGGGGCUCAACUCCGGAACUGCUCUUAAAACUGCUAAGCUAGAGAUAGUCAGAGGCGGGUGGAAUUCCUGGUGUAGAGGUGAAAUUCGUAGAUAUCAGGAGGAACACCGGUGGCGAAGGCGGCCCGCUGGGGCUAUUCUGACGCUGAGGUGCGAAAGCGUGGGGAGCGAACG